UACAGAGGGGGCAAGCGUUAUUCGGAAUUAUUGGGCGUAAAGGGCGCGUAGGCGGCUUUGCAAGUGGCGGGUGAAAUCCCUCGGCUUAACCGAGGAACUGCCUGCCAGACUGCAUGGCUUGAGACCGGGAGAGGUGAGUGGAAUUCCCAGUGUAGCGGUGAAAUGCGUAGAUAUUGGGAGGAACACCAGUAACAAAGGCGGCUCACUGGACCGGUGCUGACGCUGAGGCGCGAAAGCGUGGGGAGCAAAC
rnacentral:rRNA from 1 species